rnacentral:lncRNA from 1 species
CUCAAAACCAUUUACCCAUCAUCACUGUCCAGAUCAUUGCACAGGGUGUAGUCCCAGCUACUUGGAAGGCUGAGGCAAGAGGAUCACUUGAGACGUUCAAGGCUGUAGUGCACCAUGAUUGCCCCUUGUGAAUAGCCACUGAACUCCAGCCUGAGCAACAAAGUGAGACCUCAUCUGUAAACAAACAAACAAAACUGCUCCUGAAUUUCAAUGUCAAUUUAUUGUAGAAAUCUUAAAAACUUAAUCCUCCUAAAAUAAUGCUGUUUUUAGGGGCAACACAUAAUUGUGUACAAUUUCAUGUUUCUUUUGAAGUGAUAAUUAAAAAUAAUUGAAACAGUUAUUAAAGAAUAAAGACAUUGUGACAAAGAAAUGACCGGGAACCACAUAAAGCAAGAUAUUUUGUACUUUCAAAUAAUGCUGAUUUUUAGGGCUAACAAGUUUCAGUAGUAGCUUAAUAAAUAUACAUUAAGAAAUGCCCUUUCUGAAUUCCAUUUUAUGAUGUUCAAGUACAAAAAAUAUUCAUCCAUUGCGACUUUGAACUGUGAAAUGGUCAAUGAAGAGGUGAGCGGCACUUAACUUGAAGCUAAUGUCUCAUCGAAUUGUUCGAACUUCACUCCUUGGUCAUAAGGUUUUCCAGAUCCAGAGCAAGGUAGCCAUAUGGCAUUGAUAUUCGAAAUACAAAGCCAAGUAUCGGUUUUAAAAACAGUAUUAUUGAUUUUUUUCUUCUUUUCCAAUUUUCUCUUUUUGAAAUUGUGCUGCUACAAAUUUGAAUUUUAAAAUGUCUUAUUUUUCAAAUUUGUAUUGUUUCAUCUAUUGAAUGGUUUUUACUUUAAGGAAGUUCAGAAAGUUUUUAUGUUCUCAGCCAUUCUUUUUUAUAGAAAAUAUCUUAAAAACUGAAAAGCCUCUGAAAGGCUCAGGUGAACGAAAAUAGAAAAAAAAGUAUCUAUCUCACUCUUCUUUUUAAUUCCUCUUUAAUGCUUCCCUUACAAAUAUAUUGGAAAGAAAACUAUUUAGGUGGUACAAGGCUUCUCCCUGGUUUCAUUUUUCUUGCUCGUAUAUACAAUUAAUUAUUUGUGGCAGCAUUAUUUUUACUUUGGAGCCCUGAUUUCCCACAAUUAUUGGUCUGAUGGAGCUCAGACCUGUGUUUCAGAGUUAAAUACUCUUCCAAGAAUUUCCACAUUAUAAAACUCCCCAACCAGCACUAAACUGUACACAUAAAAAUUGUAAAAAUGGUAAAUUAUAUAUGCAUAUUGUACCUUACAAUUUUUUUUAUAAAAAAUAAAGAUUUUUUUAAAAAAAACAAACAAAUACCUCCUGCCCCACAAAAAAAAUUUCUCACCCCAUCCAAGUACCAGUCACUAGACUCUAACAAACAGUUCGGAAUUCAACUGGUGUCCAAAAGGUUAACAACAUUACCAAGGUGAAGGAACCAAAUCGGUAUCAUACACUGGAGCCAUGGGGAAGCUUUUGGAACUAGGAUUUCUGAGAACUUUUUACCAUAUACAGCAGGGAAAUCUUUGUAAAAAGGAGGAAAUUGGUAUAGUAUAUUCUGCUGCUGGCACGAAACGUGUUUUUACCAAACUAAAGUAUCCUGUAGUUCAAAAAUGUUAUCACAAGAUUCCAUUUGUGUAUCUAUUUAAAGUUUUGGUAUAUUUUCAAUAAAAAUUAAUAAAAAUAUUUCUUCUCAUAAUAUGUGGUUUAAAUCCAGAUUAUUUCACAAUAUGUGGUUUAAAUCCAGAUUAUUUCACUGUAAUAUGUCUUGAUAGAGUUUUAGAAUAUUGAAAUAGGGUAUUAAGAUGCUUUAAAUCGAUUACUGAUUUGAACAUUGUAAGUGUAUAUUUCUAUUUGUGUGUGUGUGUCAUAUUCAAAUAUGAUUAAUCAUGUAUGUUGGUGUGUGAACAUAUGCAUAUAUAAAGCAUUUUUAUCAGCUGUUUCUGGCUUCAUACCACAG